rnacentral:rRNA from 1 species
UACGAACUGUGCAAACGUUAUUCGGAAUCACUGGGCUUAAAGGGUGCGUAGGCGGCCAUUUAAGUAGGGUGUGAAAGCCCCCGGCUCAACCGGGGAAUUGCGUCCUAAACUGGGUGGCUCGAGUGAGAUAGAGGUGUGCGGAACUUCCGGUGGAGCGGUGAAAUGUGUUGAUAUCGGAAGGAACGCCGGUGGCGAAAGCGGCACACUGGAUCUUAACUGACGCUGAGGCACGAAAGCCAGGGGAGCGAACGGG